rnacentral:rRNA from 1 species
GACGAACGCUGGCGGCGUGCCUAAUACAUGCAAGUAGAACGCAGUUGCGAACGGGUGAGUAACGCGUAGGUAACUGCCUGGUAGCGGGGGAUAACUAUUGGAAACGAUAGCUAAUACCGAACACGACCAGAUGGACCUGCGUUGUAUUAGCUCGUUGGGGGGGUAACGGCUCACAAAGGCAACGAUACAUAGCCGAACUGAGAGGGUGAUCGGCCACACUGGGACUGAGACACGGCCCAGACUCCUUCGGGAAGCCGCAGUAGGGAAGCUUCGGCAAUGGACGGAAGUCUGACCCAGCAACGCCGCGUGAGUUAAGAAGGUUUUCGGAUCGUAAAGCUCUUUUGUAAUAGAAGCGGUAUCUUACCAGUAAGCGACGGCUAACUACGUGCCAGCCGCCGCGGUAAUUC